rnacentral:rRNA from 1 species
UACGAGGGGGGCAAAUGUUGUUCGGAAUCACUGGGCGUAAAGGGAGCGUAGGCGGGUUUCUAAGUCAGGUGUUUAAUCCCGGGGCCCAACCCCGGACAGGCACUUGAAACUGGGAAUCUUGAAUAGUGGAGAGGUCAGUGGAAUUGGGGGUGUAGCGGUGGAAUGCGUAGAGAUCCCCAAGAACACCAGUUGCGAAGGCGGCGACCUGGACAAGUACUGACACUCAACUACGAAAGCGUGGGGAGCAAACAGGG